UAGGAUUGUGAGGCAUCAGUCACCCUUGCAGACCAUGGCUAUGCUUUACGGCCGCGUCAAACAAAGAAAUUAAGGAAAUCGUUUAUCUAUCCGUCCUUGGUACCGAAUAUCAGAAAACGAUUCUGUGUGUGUCAGCAAUUCAAUGAUGGUCGGCUGUACUGGCAGUGCGAUGGAUGUGAUCAACAUUUUCAUCCUGGAUGCGCCGGUUUGUUAC